AGAUAUGUCCAGGUAGCCCUCAAACAUGAUAGUCAGCAGAUCAAGAACUCCAGUAGUGGCACAUCAGGCGCCAUUUUGUACAGUGUGUCAAAGGAUUU